rnacentral:rRNA from 1 species
UACGAAGGGGGCUAGCGCUGCUCGGAAUUACUGGGCGUAAAGCGCACGUAGGCGGUCUUUUAAGUCGGUGGUGAAAUCCUGGAGCUCAACUCCAGAACUGCCUUCGAUACUGGAAGACUUGAGUCCGGGAGAGGUGAGUGGAACUGCGAGUGUAGAGGUGAAAUUCGUAGAUAUUCGCAAGAACACCAGUGGCGAAGGCGGCUCACUGGCCCGGUACUGACGCUGAGGUGCGAAAGCGUGGGGAGCAAACAGG